GAGGAAGUAAAAGUCGUAACAAGGUCUCCGUUGGUGAACCAGCGGAGGGAUCAUUACUGAGUUUACGCUCUACAACCCUUUGUGAACAUACCUACAACUGUUGCUUCGGCGGGUAGGGUCCCCGUGACCCUCCCGGCCUCCCGCCCCCCCGGGCGGGUCGGCGCCCGCCGGAGGAUAACCAAACUCUGAUUUAACGACGUUUCUUCUGAGUGGUACAAGCAAAUAAUCAAAACUUUUAACAACGGAUCUCUUGGUUCUGGCAUCGAUGAAGAACGCAGCGAAAUGCGAUAAGUAAUGUGAAUUGCAGAAUUCAGUGAAUCAUCGAAUCUUUGAACGCACAUUGCGCCCGCCAGCAUUCUGGCGGGCAUGCCUGUUCGAGCGUCAUUUCAACCCUCAAGCUCUGCUUGGUGUUGGGGCCCUACAGCUGAUGUAGGCCCUCAAAGGUAGUGGCGGACCCUCCCGGAGCCUCCUUUGCGUAGUAACUUUACGUCUCGCACUGGGAUCCGGAGGGACUCUUGCCGUAAAACCCCCCAAUUUUCCAAAGGUUGACCUCGGAUCAGGUAGGAAUACCCGCUGAACUUAAGCAUAUCAAUAAGCGGAGGAA
rnacentral:rRNA from 1 species